GCCCGGCACUCCCAGGACUCCGCAGCUGUACCUCGGAGAAGCGCGCGGCGCCCGCGAAACCGCCGCUCUGCCAACCGCCGCUCGGCCGGCCCUAACGUACCUACAGCCGCGCCGCGCCCGCAGCAGCUCCGCCCACAACCGAUUCGAACCGCAACCGCCGCGCACAAUGGUAAUCCAGCCGGGACCGGCUGAGGCCCAGACCCAACAAGGCCUUCCAUGAAACCAGUCCCUGGUGCCAAAAAGGUUGGGGACCACUGGUUUAGAGGACCGGGAGCAGAAGGCCCGGAGGAAGAAGAGGAGAAGCUUCUGUAAACAUGUGGAAAGGAACUGAGCCCCCACCUCCUUACCCUGGCUGAGUUCCCAGCUGGUAACUGACCCUAAAUGACCAGCCUUGUCAAUGAGCCACGGCAGAAAGGGUCCUCGAGUCCCGGGUCGAACUACCCCAGCUGAUGCCGUGUGGAGCAGAGACAAGCUGUCACUGCCAAACGUUGCCCAAAUUGCAGAUAUCGGAGCUAAAUAAAUGACUAUUGUUUUAACCCACUAAGUUUUGUGGUAGUUUGUUAUUCGGUAAUAAUGACUGGAUCAGUUAGCCAGAUAAAAAGAGUGGGCACAGGGUGGGGACUCCAGGCCAAAAAGAAUUCUAAUAUCUGCCACAGGUCGACCAUACCAUAUUCAAGAUCUUUAGGGUGGCCUGUACUUCAGAACUCAAAAUUUUUAACUUUUGAGUGAUAAUACAGUAUCUGUACUGGUAAGGAAGACCCCCAUCU